ACUGGGAAUGGUGGUGCAUACCUGCAGUCUCAAUACCUUGGAGGCUGAGGUAGAAGGAUCCUUUGAGUCCAAGAGUGUGAGGACAACCUGGAAAAAAUAGAGAGACCCAGUCUUAA
rnacentral:sRNA from 1 species